rnacentral:rRNA from 1 species
GAUGAACGCUGGCGGCGUGCCUAAUACAUGCAAGUCGAGCGAACAGAUGAGGAGCUUGCUCCUCUAACGUUGGCGGCGGACGGGUGAGUAACACGUGGAUAACCUACCCAUAAGACUGGGAUAACUUCGGGAAACCGGAGCUAAUACCGGAUAAUAUAUUGAACGGCAUGGUUCAAUAGUGAAAGACGGUUUUGUUGUCACUUAUAGAUGGAUCCGCGCCGCAUUAGCUAGUUGGUAAGGUAACGGCUUACCAAGGCAACGAUGCGUAGCCGACCUGAGAGGGUGAUCGGCCACACUGGAACUGAGACACGGUCCAGACUCCUACGGGAGGCAGCAGUAGGGAAUCUUCCGCAAUGGGCGAAAGCCUGACGGAGCAACGCCGCGUGAGUGAUGAAGGUCUUCGGAUCGUAAAACUCUGUUAUUAGGGAAGAACAAAUGUGUAAGUAACUAUGCACGUCUUGACGGUACCUAAUCAGAAAGCCACGGCUAACUACGUG